GUUACUGAUACAGCCUUGCUUUGAUCUCCUGAGGAGGUGGGUUCAUCUGAACAACAUGCAUUUUACUAAUGUGACAUGCCAGGGCACACAUCCAGGGACAAAGAAAGGACUUCUCACUUGUAGGACGGGGCAGUGCAUUCCCAAGGCAGCAGAUCUGGAGAGGAGGCAGAGGCAGUAGCAGCAAGCCAGUACCACCAUGGGGUGAACCAUUUGGGUGUCAUGAAUCUGUCAAAGCUGCAGGGACACUCUCCAGGGAAAGGGAGAGCAGAGAGAGCAGAGGAAGGCUCAUCAUCAUCAUCCCCCACUAUUGAGGAUUGUUUAGUAAGGAAGGCAGCAAGACAGUGGCUGUACUGUGGGAGGAGAGAGAAAUGGAGCUUGAAUUUGAAGAAGUCAAGAAGAGGAUGGGGAUUGCAUCACAGUGACAGUGGGCAUUUCAGUUCUGGAAGAAAAUUAACUUCCAUGCCACCUCGAGAGGAUUCUGAUUUUCCUAGGAAUAGACUUUGGGACUCAGAAGGAUUUACUGAGAGACAUAUGUGAGACUCAAUUUCAAAAUGUCACAUAUAUUAAAUUCAUCCCUUAACAUUA